rnacentral:rRNA from 1 species
AAUGAACGCUGGCGGCAUGCCUAACACAUGCAAGUCGAACGAAUAGCGGACGGGUGAGUAAGGUCUUGAAAACUGGCUGAUGUAGGGGGCAGACUAGUGGAAACGGUAGCUAAUGGCGCUUAAGAUGCUCUGGGCCCAGAUGGGAUUAGCGAGUAGGUGGGGUAAAGGCUCACCUAGGCGACGAUGCCUAGCUGGGCUGAGAGGAUGACCAGCCACACUGGGACUGAGACACGGUCCAGACUCCUACGGGAGGCAGCAGUAGGGAAUAUUGCACAAUGGGCGCAAGCCUGAUGCAGCCAUGCCGCGUGUAUGAAGAAGGCUUUCGGGUUGUAAAGUACUUUCAGCGGGGAGGCGUUAUCCGCAGAAGAAGCACCGGCUAACUACGUGCCAGCAGCCGCGGUAAUUC